rnacentral:rRNA from 1 species
UACGUAGGGUCCAAGCGUUAUCCGGAAUCACUGGGCGUAAAGCGUGCGUAGGCGGCGUGUUAAGUGUAAUGCGAAAUCCUGUGGCUCAACCAUAUGGACUGUAUUGCAUACUGGCAUGCUUGAGGAUGGUAGAGGCAAGUGGAACUGGUAGUGUAGCAGUGAAAUGCGUAGAUAUUACCAAGAACACCAAUGGCGAAGGCAGCUUGCUGGGCCACACCUGACGCUAAGGCACGAAAGCGUGGGGAGCGAACAGG